UGGGGAAUAUUGGACAAUGGGGGCAACCCUGAUCCAGCCAUGCCGCGUGAGUGAUGAAGGCCUUAGGGUUGUAAAGCUCUUUCGCCGGUGACGAUAAUGACGGUAACCGGUAAAGAAGCCCCGGCUAACUUCGUGCCAGCAGCCGCGGUAAUACGAAGGGGGCUAGCGUUGUUCGGAAUUGCUGGGCGUAAAGCGCGCGUAGGCGGACCAUUAAGUCAGGGGUGAAAUCCCGGGGCUCAACCUCGGAAUUGCCUUUGAUAUUGGUAGUCUAGAGUUCGAGAGAGGUGAGUGGAAUUCCGAGUGUAGAGGUGAAAUUCGUAGAUAUUCGGGGAACACCAGUGGCGAAGGCGGCUCACUGGCUCGAUACUGACGCUGAGGUGCGAAAGCGUGGGGAGCAAACAGGAUUAGAUACCCCCGUAGUCC
rnacentral:rRNA from 1 species